AUGGUGGGGCACGUGCUGUGCUCGCAGUGCCGCGACAAGCUGGCCUCGGCGCGGAUCUGCCACAUCUGCCGCGCUCCGAUGGACGGGGGUUACCGCCGAAGCCACGCCAUGGAGAAGCUGGUGGAGUCCAUCCGGGCGCCGUGCCCCAACGCCCCAAACCGGCAUACCACGACCUCCAGCCUCACAUCAAGUCCUGCCUGCACGCGCCGUGCCACUGCCCUGAGGAAGCCUGCGGCUUCGCCGGGAGCACGGAGACGCUCCUGGUCCACUUCACCGCGGGGCACGGGUGGCCGUGCACCGCCGACGUCCGCGCCGAGGAGUCGUUCCACAUGGAACUCCGUGAGGGCUUCAACGUCGUUGAUGUCGCCGACCUCGAUGGCGCCACGAAGCUGCUGUUCCUGGUAA
rnacentral:rRNA from 1 species